rfam:Peregrinibacteria bacterium GW2011_GWA2_44_7 TW70_C0016, whole genome shotgun sequence.
UUUUUGGAGAGUUUGAUCCUGGCUCAGGGUGAACGCUGGCGGUGUGUUUAAUACAUGCAAGUCGAGCGCCCACUUCGGUGGGAGCGGCGAACGGGUGAGUAAUACGUUGGUAACUACCUCAGACUCAGGGAUACCCCACUGAAAAGUGGGUUAAUACCGGAUGGUCCCGAAAGGGUAAAGAUUUAUCGGUCUGAGAGGUGCCUGCGUCCUAUCAGCUUGUUGGUGAGGUAACGGCUCACCAAGGCUAUGACGGGUAGCUGGUCUGAGAGGAUGAUCAGCCACAGUGGGACUGAGACACGGCCCACACUCCUACGGGAGGCAGCAGUAAAGAAUCUUCCGCAAUGGGCGAAAGCCUGACGGAGCAACACCGCGUGGUUGACGAAGCCCUUCGGGGUGUAAAGACCUUUUCUGGGGGAAGAAUUCUGACGGUACCCUAGGAAUAAGCACCGGCUAAACUCGUGCCAGCAGCCGCGGUAAUACGAGUGGUGCAAGCGUUACCCGGAAUCAUUGGGCGUAAAGCGUCCGUAGGCGGUGUAUUAAGUUGGGUGUUAAAGCUCUCAGCUCAACUGAGAAUUAGUACCCGAAACUGGUAUGCUAGAGACUUGGAGAGGUUAGUGGAAUUCGGUGUGUAGGGGUAAAAUCCGUAGAUACACCGAGGAACACCAAAAGCGAAGGCAGCUAACUGGCCAAGUUCUGACGCUCAAGGACGAAAGCGUGGGGAGCAAACGGGAUUAGAUACCCCGGUAGUCCACGCCGUAAACGAUGGAUACUAGCUGUUGGUCCUGCUCGACCGGGAUCAGUGGCGAAGCUAACGCAUUAAGUAUCCCGCCUGGGAAGUACGGUCGCAAGACUAAAACUCAAAGGAAUAGACGGGGACCCACACAAGCGGUGGAGCAUCUGGUUUAAUUCGAUAACAAGCGAGGAACCUUACCCAGGCUUGACAUCUAGGGAAUUCUCCCGAAAGGGAGAAGUGCCGCAAGGAGCCCUAAGACAGGUGCUGCAUGGUUGUCGUCAGCUCGUGCCUUGAGGUGUUCGGUUAAGUCCGUAAACGAGCGCAACCCUUGUCCUUAGUUGUAUUUUUCUAAGGAGACUGCCCUGCAUAACGGGGAGGAAGGUAAGGAUGACGUCAAAUCAGCAUGGCCCUUAUGCCUGGGGCGACACAGGUGCUAUAAUGGCCGGUACAACGGGUAGCCAAGGAGUAAUCCGGAGCCAAUCCCUAAAAACCGGUCUAAGUUCGGAUUGAGGGCUGAAACUCGCCCUCAUGAAGCUGGAAUCGCUAGUAAACGCGCAUCAGCCAUGGCGCGUUGAAUAUGUUCCUGGGUCUUGUACUCACCGCCCGUCAAGUGAUGAAAGGAAGGGGCACCCGAAGUACCUCCACUAAGCGAGGUCCUAAGGUGAAACUUCUGAUUGGCACUAAGUCGUAACAAGGUAUCCGUAGGAGAACCUGCGGAUGGAUUACCUCUUUU